UUGAAAAAAAACGUUCGUAACUGCUCAGCUGAACCUGAAGCUUGAUGAAGAAGGCCGUCAAUAUUUCAACAAAAACUAACAGAAUAUGGAUCAGAUUCGGACAACGACUUCUUAAGACAUUCACACAACAGGCUAAACAAUUCAAAGAGGGAUCUCUGGAUGAUCGAGCAACAAGUCCAGCAUUAUGUGGGAAAGAUACUACAGGUGUACACAGAAAAGGCAAUGAUCAUGUACAAGACACGGUUGGAGUUCAUAAAAGAUUAAGCUGCCUCGUGCUAUACAGACGUGGAUAAAAACAAGCUGUCUAAUGAAUGGUGACUACUCAAGAGGAGCCAGAAAGUCAACUAAGGCCAGGGUAUUUUGGGAGUUGAUAUGGCCGGGGAAGGGGGGGAGGGGAGGGGGUUUCCAGGGCCCCCCCCCCUCCCUUGAGAUCUCGACCGCACAAUCGCGUCUUACAUUGGCACAUGGGUUGUCUAGGGCAUAAUUUACAAAAUUAAAUUGUAAAUUAUUUCACGCAAAUUGUUAUUAAGUGAUAAUACUAAUUUAUGCGUAAUUAGAAUACAAAAUCAUACUUUUUCCUCUAUUGCAUUGACUUUGUACACAAAAUCACGUUUUUGAGCAAUUUUUGGUAUGACAUGUACUUACAUAAUGUCACGUUAUUACAGAACCACGUACCGGGUGACACAAGAUUGGUCUCAAAAGAUGCACAAGACUAGAAAGAGGCAUGUUUUUAAAAAAUUGUGCGACAGCAUGGUCGCAAAAUUUUUGGAAGGGGGGGGGUCAAAUUGGUCCAAUUUAACUGAGGGUUAAUAACUGGGAGGCUGUUAGCUGCCUUUUUACUUUCAAGUCUUGCACAUCUUUUGAGACCAAAUUUGUGAUGCCUGGGUACGCUGUUCCGAAAUUUUGCAACAUUUUUAUGUAUUAAUCCAACACAAAUACUGUUUCUUGCUAAAAAUUCACAAUUAGUAUACCAGUAAUAUACAUUUAUCAAGAUUAAAGUCAAAUUAUUUAAUUACAUUUAUAAUCAUGAAAACUUUGAUAAAGUAUAAAAAAAACCCAAAGAGUUGUAUGUAGGCCUGGGACUUUCGGGUUUUUUCUCUUCGGGUACCCGUGGUAAUUUUCGGGCGGGUACCCGAAAAUCAUGUCACUUGAAAUAUGACUGGUGGAAAAACCCCAUAGGUGACGUCAUCAAGCCAAUGCGAUGCAAGCCAAUUUAUGAAUGAAAAUAUAGUAAGCAUGCGCAUUGCAAGCCUCCCGUGCCCCACGCAGUAUUCAAUCGAAACAAUUAAGUUUCAAUACUCUGUCACCUCGUACCAAAAUCGACCUAGAAUUCCACUUUCCUAUAUUUCAUAUGAAUUAUAAAAGGUUUUCUCACCGAUACUGCACAGGUAAGCAAAUUUUUAUUACUUCUUGCUUUUCCGUCAAAAUCUUACGAAGUAGCGUCGAUAUUACAUCGUGUUCGUGAGUUUGUAUCGCUACGUGAACAAAGUCAAUUGAUUUCAGGGUUUCGGAGCGUCAAAUGUGCCAGCCAAUCACGAUCGUGUUCCCAUUUUCGGUUUAUGAUGAACUAAAAAUGGUAACAAGAACGUGAUUGGCUGGCGCUUCGUAGGUCGAUUUUGGUAUGAGGUGACAGAGUAUUGCAGACUUGUUUUGACGGAAUACUGAGUGGGGCUGAGGCUUGCAAUGCACAUGAUUACUAUAUUUUCAUUCAUAAAUUGGUUUGCGUCGCAGUGGCUGGAUGACGUCACUGCGCUGCAAAAGAAACAUGGCGAUGAUUGAACGAUCUCGGUCACAUCAUCAUCACUUGAAAACUUGUAUAUUUAUGGAUAUUUAGAGGGUAAUUGGUGAAAUUCAAAAUGAGGCUUGUGUACUUUUGUGAUGAGUUACAAUCAUGUCUUACACUACGCAAUACAAAUCAAAUACAUGUACAUUAUACUGGUGAGCAAUUUUCGGGUAUCGGGUAUUGAUUUUUCUACCCGGGUACCCAAGGCUUCCGGGCGGGACCCGGGUACUCGGGUUUUAGUCCCAGCCCUAGUUGUAUGAAAAUUUUCAAAAAUAAUGAAAGGUAAAAGAAAACAAGAUUACAAUGUCCAUUGCAAGGGGGCUAGUCUAUUCAGGAUAAUUGGGAUUUUAUUUAGUUUUUAAUUGACAUAACAUUAUGACAAGAUCCCUCCAUUUAGUGUAUAAACAGCACAUGGCCAUGAUUGAAAUUCAUAUAACAUUAAAGUAUGCAAACCAGGCAGCUACAUGUACAUGUAGGACUCACUGCUUGUCAAUUCUAUUGUCUGCCAGGGUCAAGUGACAUACAGUGCACAUGUAUAACGUGUGUGAAAGUACAUAAGAAAAUCAGCUUUUUAUUUUUGCACUGUAACAUUGGGUGAACUGGUGAUCACUUUGGAUAUGAUGCUCUUCAUAUUGGUUUAUUUUAUGUAUAUGAAUUUUUGGAUAAUCAUUAAGAAUUAAAGCUAUUUACUUAAUAUAUGGAAGCAUAAGCCCAUCAAAAAACAGAAUUAUGUCAUGUACAGCUAAUUCAUUUUGCGUGAUAUUACAAUUGUAAUUGUUUACUUGAGCAAGUAAUUUGAAUUGCUGCAUGACCUAAACAAUAACAUGUUCCAAUUCGAAUAGUAACAUGACCUAAAGAAGAGUUACUCCACGUCGAUUGAGAGUGCUUAUGUUAAAUAAUUGAUGUUGCUACUUCAAAUAAUUGAGGUCAAUCAAAUUGGUCAAUUUUGAGCUAUAUGUCAUAAUUAAUUAGGUCAUAUACUAAUUGAAAUUACUAAAUGGCUCGAGUAGGUAUGAAUUCACGUUGCCACAUGACCUUAAUUAUUUUAUGUAGCAACAUCAAGUAUUGAACGUCAUUUAGUUAUCAAUUAUGACAUGUAGCAAAUCAAAUUACAUGCCGCAAUUUCGUGUUUAUGAUGGGCUCAUGCUUACAUUCAUAUAUAACCCUUCAAUACGUAGUUGGAGCAAUUCUUAGACAAGAAGACUGUAAAACAAUGAUAUGCCUAUUCAAUGUCAAAAAGGUUAAUGUCUCAAUAGAUUUGAUCUACGUUUUGGCAAAGUAAUCUUAUGUUCAUAUUUUUUCUAACCUAUGGUGAACAUUCUAAAUCAUGUGAAAUUCAUUCAAAAAUAUCUUUCAGUAUUUAUGGACUUAAGUGAAUUCUAAGCAAAAUGAAGUGAUUAUGAUUACGUUCAUGUACUUUAAGUUUAUACUGGUGAUCAACACAUCAUAAUUUCAUCCCUUACUGUAUGUGCACCAUGCAUUAUCUGUACAUACAGAAGUGGUUAUCCAUUGUUUCAUAACAUGGUUGAGUAAAGGAUGUUCUGCUUUUAGUAUUAAGCCAAUCGGGUGUUGACAAGAAGGGGAAAAUGCAAUUGCUCAGCUAUUACAGGUUUUUUUGCAACCAUAAUACUGGUUAAGCCUUGGUUACAUUCGCCGGCUCGUGGCCUUACGUCGAGUCAAAAUUAGCAGUUUUAAUCAUCCUUGUACCAGCUACUACCAGCUACACGUGGGUGGUUUGUACAGGAAUACCUAAAACUGCUGAUUUUGUCUCGCCGUAAGGCAACCGGUCAAGGAAUGUGACCAAGGUAUUAAUAAUAAUCGCUUAAUGUUGUGUUAGAGGGAAGGAUUCUGGGUCGAAUCUAGCUUUCUUUAUGUGAUCUCAAAAUGGCAGCAAUGUAUGAAUAGUGAAAGUAGUUCAUGUGGCAUCUCAAUGUUGGUGGAUAUAAAUCUUUGUACAUGUAUUAUCCUAAAGAUGAAAUGUUACUGCAUUAUUCUAGCAGUCAUUUAUGAUAUCAAAGAUGUUCUAUACUGUGCAUAGUACAACUCAUACAUAAUAAAGGUAUGUGAAUAUGCUUUUAA